rnacentral:SRP_RNA from 1 species
GCUGGGCAUGGUGGUGCAUGCCUGUAAUCCCAGCUACUUGGGAGGCUAAGGCAGGAGAAUUGCUUGAACCCGGGAGGUGCAGGUUGCAGUGAGCCAAGAUAGCACCACUGUACUCUGGCCUGGGAGACAGAGCAAGACUCUGUCUCAA